GUUCAGUGUUAAGAACUUUACUUACAGACAUGAACUAAAAUUUAAUUCUGACAGAA
rnacentral:snoRNA from 14 species